rnacentral:lncRNA from 1 species
CUAAUAUAUCAUAGACUACUCCUGUGAAUCUUAAUAAUAGUUAUAAAUAAAGCUUCUCCAAAAUCCUUCAUAUCAAAGAUUUUAGAUAGCAUAGUUUGAUCUCAUGUAACAACAGAGUCACUAUUAGCAAACAAACAACAUUCAUAUAUAAGACAAAGAAGAUAAAUUUAUUUUCAUUGAUCUUAAGAUACAUUAUUGAUCCACUUUAUCAUCUAUAAAUCUAAGAUAAUCC